UACGUAGGGGGCGAGCGUUGUCCGGAUUUAUUGGGCGUAAAGAGCUCGUAGGCGGUUCGAUAAGUCGGAUGUGAAAUCUCCUCGCUCAACGGGGAGAGGCCAUUGGAAACGGUCGGGCUGGAGGGCAGUAGAGGCAGGCGGAAUUCCGGGUGGAGUGGUGAAAUGCGUAGAGAUCCGGAGGAACACCAGAGGCGAAGGCGGCCUGCUGGGCUGCACCUGACGCUGAACCGCGAAAGCCAGGGGAGCGAACGGG
rnacentral:rRNA from 1 species